rnacentral:rRNA from 1 species
CCUACGGGUGGCAGCAGUCGAGAAUCAUUCACAAUGGGGGAAACCCUGAUGGUGCGACGCCGCGUGGGGGAAUGAAGGUCUUCGGAUUGUAAACCCCUGUCAUGUGGGAGCAAAUUAAAAAGAUAGUACCACAAGAGGAAGAGACGGCUAACUCUGUGUCAGCAGCCGCGGUAAUACAGAGGUCUCAAGCGUUGUUCGGAAUCACUGGGCGUAAAGCGUGCGUAGGCGGUUUCGUAAGUCGUGUGUGAAAGGCGCGGGCUCAACCCGCGGACGGCACAUGAUACUGCGAGACUAGAGUAAGGGAGGGGGAACCGGAAUUCUCGGUGUAGCAGUGAAAUGCGUAGAUAUCGAGAGGAACACUCGUGGCGAAGGCGGGUUCCUGGACAUUAACUGACGCUGAGGCACGAAGGCUAGGGGAGCGAAAGGGAUUAGAUACCCCUGUAGUC